rnacentral:tRNA from 1 species
GGUGCCGGUGGUUCACGGCGCCGGAUCGGGCGCCUGCCAGGCGGCCAUCUGCUGCCGGAACUUCGGGCAGUCGACGAUGUCCUCCUCGCCGCACCU